AUGGUUCGUGGCCGCUGGCUAGAGGCGGUUGCGUCCCCACCUCGUGUGUUCUGUGCUGUCGAUGUCUGGCACCACUGUGCUAAGUUGUCUCGUCAGGCCAUGAAGGGCUGGGGGACUAACCUUGGCACUGAGCUCCGGGCCCGUAAAGGGGCCCUGUUGGAUCAGAUCAAGGUACUGGAUGGACUUGCAGAUGGACACGACCUGUCUCCUGAUGACUGGCUUAGGAGAUAUGCACUUGAGGCCUCGCUCAUGGACAUCUACAAGAGCGAGGAGCUAUUCUGGCAACGUCGAGGGGGCCAGAACUAG
rnacentral:rRNA from 1 species